GUGCUCACUUCAGCAGCACAUAUACUAAAAUUAGAAUGAUACAGAGAUUAGCAUGGCCCCUGUGCAAGGAUGACACGAAAAUUUGUGAAGUGUUCCAUAUUUU
rnacentral:snRNA from 1 species